GGCGGGGCGUUUGGCUCUUGCUGCAGCCAGAGCUCCAGGUCUCGUCUUCAUUUCUGUGUCCUUUGUUCUUAGAGGCCCAGCCUGUGUGGCCCUGUGACCCGCAGAUAUUGGGAGAUACACAGCUAAGACUCCAGGACCCCCUGGAAGCCUAGAAAUGUGACUGUGCCUGACGUGUAGCCCUGUCUGGGGAGCUCUGCACGCGCAAUUCCGCAGUCUCUCCCAGAUUGUGCAAGAACCAUGGGAGGGGCGUCAGAAAAUUAACCAGGCGUGGUGGUGCAUGCCUGUAAUCCCAGCUACUCAGGAGGCUGAGGCAGAAGAACUCGGGAGGCGGAGGUUGCGGUGAGCCGAGAUCGUGCCAUUGCACUCCAGCCUGUGCAACACGAGUGAAACUCCAUCUGAAAAAAAAAAAAAAGAUGGAGUCUUGCUCUGUCGCCCAGGCUGGAGUGCAUGGCACCAUCUCGGCUCACAGCAACUUCCACCUCCCGGGUUCAAGUGAUUCUCCUGCCUCAGCCUCCUGAGUAGCUGGGACUACAGAUGUGCACCACCACGCCCAGCUAAAUUUUUAUUUUUUUAUUUUUAGUAGAGAAAGGGUUUCACUGUGUUAGCCAGGAUAGUCUCGAUCUCCUGACAUCGUGAUCUGCCCACCUCAGCCUUCCAAAGUGCUGGGAUUACAGGCAUGAGCCAUCGUGCCCAGCCCUGUAUUAUAUCUUUAUCUUUAUCAAGUUGUGGUCUAAGUGAGCAUUUGGUAUGAUUUUGGGAUUAUUGAAUUUGCUGAGGAUUGUUGUGUUUCUGAUUGCGUGGUCAAUUUUAGAGUAUGUGACACAUGGUGAUGAGAAAGAUAUAUAUACUAUGUUGGUUUCAGAUGAAGAGUUUCAUAUAUGUUUAUUAGAAUGAUUUGGUCAAGUGUUGAGUUUAGGUUCUGAUAUCUGCUAAUUUUCUGCCUCAAGGUGGGAAAUUAAAGAAAAUAAAAUUAAAUUAAAAAGAGAAAGAAACAAGGUUUCCUGUAUUAGGCUGACUUAUCCUAGAGGCAGUAACAGGCACAGCCCACAUCCAGGAAAAGUUUUGAUAACACUAUUUAAGAAGCCAGGGCUGGAAAGAAUGUGCUCUGGAGACUCUCCCAGCAUUCCCUCAACAUAGGGAGAAGAGAAACAAAUUUUCCUUUCUCUUAUGAUUCCUGUUUUUCAUUUAAGCAGCACAUUGAAGGUCAUGAGAUGCCUGAGCAGGCCUGGAUUGCAGCCACCUAGGCACCAUAGUGAAGGUUAUAAGAUAAGCCCAUGCAAGGCACUAGAGCAAGCCUAGGUAACAGCCAUCUGGGCCACAUAGUAAGAGUCAUAUGUAAGUCUGAGUUAUAAACCUGUCAUAGUAUGAUUAACUGCUUUUGUUCUGUUUCUGUAUCCUUGCUUUCACAUCACUACACUUUGUGCCACUGUAGGCUUGUUUCAAGUUAGCCCACCCUCUUUAGAAGUGUAUGUAAAAGUUAAAUGCUGUCUUUGUCCUUGGCCCAGUCUCUGGAUGUUAAUCCACUGGGUCUGAGUGCACUCAAUAAAAUCCUCCUUUUCUAC
rnacentral:lncRNA from 1 species